AUGGCGACAAAUAGCUACCGGGUCAAAGUCGAUUGGGCCUGGAAGAGUGGAGGGAGGAAGGGGAGGCUCACGCGCGUGACGACGCCGACGCGUCGUGCGGUGGCUUUGGCGUUGGAACGUGCGUACGUGGCGGAAAGCGGGUGGCGCGGCGGAGGGUCUACGUCCCGCGCAUGCUCCUCGUGCGGGUGGUGCGGCCGUCGAUACAUAGGCGGCGCGGGGGACGGCGGCCAGGAGCCCUCGCGCUCCGGCGCGUGGCCGCGCGCGCCAACAACUUUGGAUUGGGACAUCGAAUUCGCCAAUCACAUUCUUCAUGCCCUUUCCUCCUCACUUUCGGACCACUGCCCGCUUUUGCUCGCUAAUGAUGAUGGUCCCAAGCGACCGAAGUCCUUCCGGUUCGAGAACCAUUGGACCAAGAUGCUGGGUUUCCAAAAGACGGUCAAGGAUGCUUGGGAUGAAGAAUCAGCGCAUUCCGAGCCCUACCAAAGGCUGUUUCAUAAGCUCAAAACUACUAGCCAAAGAUUAUGCUCCUGGAGCAAGUCCCUUUUCGCAAAAGCUAAGAUCCAAUUACAUAUGGCGCUUGAAGUUAUUCUGCAUCUUGAUAUGGCUAUGGAUCAUAGAGAGCUUUCCCAACAGGAAUACGAUCUUCGGAAAAGUCUAAAGAGAAAGAUCAUCGCGUGGGUUGUGCUUGAGAAAUCUAGGAAAAGGCAAAACUCCAGAAUCACCAAUCUAAAGGAGGGUGAUGCUAACACCCGUUACUUCCAUCUCCGGGUGAAUCACCGGAGGAGAAAAAACUUAUUCAUAGUCUCAAGCACAAUUCUGGCUGGAUCACGGAACAUAAUCAGAAGGAGCAAGUGA
rnacentral:rRNA from 1 species